GAUGAACGCUGGCGGCGUGCCUAAUACAUGCAAGUCGAGCGAACAGACGAGGAGCUUGCUCCUUUGACGUUAGCGGCGGACGGGUGAGUAACACGUGGGUAACCUACCUAUAAGACUGGGAUAACUUCGGGAAACCGGAGCUAAUACCGGAUAAUAUUUCGAACCGCAUGGUUCGAUAGUGAAAGAUGGCUUUGCUAUCACUUAUAGAUGGACCUGCGCCGUAUUAGCUAGUUGGUAAGGUAACGGCUUACCAAGGCAACGAUACGUAGCCGACCUGAGAGGGUGAUCGGCCACACUGGAACUGAGACACGGUCCAGACUCCUACGGGAGGCAGCAGUAGGGAAUCUUCCGCAAUGGGCGAAAGCCUGACGGAGCAACGCCGCGUGAGUGAUGAAGGUCUUCGGAUCGUAAAACUCUGUUAUUAGGGAAGAACAGACGUGUAAGUAGCUGUGCACGUCUUGACGGUACCUAAUCAGAAAGCCACGGCUAACUACGUG
rnacentral:rRNA from 1 species